ensembl:snRNA U6 U6 spliceosomal RNA
GUGCUCACUUCGGCAGCACAUUCGAUACUAAAAUUGGAACAAGACAGAGAAGAUUAGCAUGGUCCCUGCACAAGGAUGACACGCAAAUUCAUAAAGUGUUCUAUAUUUUU